UCACAAUCCCAGAGGCAGACAUGAGGGAGUUGUCUUCCUCUGACAUGCUGAGACUUGUCUUCCAUGGAGCUUCUUUCUGCCAUCCCAAUGACUUGCUCUACUUGCCAAAAGAGAGAACUGGCACCAUACCAAAGGAGGCACAUAUAACAGCUUGUGUUCAUCAAUACAUAUGUAUGCUUCUUUAUCUGUUUCUGUCUUAAGCUUACAGUUAACAGACAACAGAUGUGCCUGGAUACCAUCCACAACUAUUACAUUAUUACCCAGGUGGAUUAUGCUCUCUUGCUUCUCAGUGCCAACAAGACUGUCACACAGCUGCA